rnacentral:rRNA from 1 species
UGUUUGAUGUUCUAACGUUGACCCGUGAUCCGGGUUGCGGACAGUGUCUGGUGGGUAGUUUGACUGGGGCGGUCUCCUCCUAAAGAGUAACGGAGGAGCACGAAGGUUGGCUAAUCCUGGUCGGACAUCAGGAGGUUAGUGCAAUGGCAUAAGCCAGCUUGACUGCGAGCGUGACGGCGCGAGCAGGUGCGAAAGCAGGUCAUAGUGAUCCGGUGGUUCUGAAUGGAAGGGCCAUCGCUCAACGGAUAAAAGGUACUCCGGGGAUAACAGGCUGAUACCGCCCAAGAGUUCAUAUCGACGGCGGUGUUUGGCACCUCGAUGUCGGCUCAUCACAUCCUGGGGCUGAAGUAGGUCCCAAGGGUAUGGCUGUUCGCCAUUUAAAGUGGUACGCGAGCUGGGUUUAGAACGUCGUGAGACAGUUCGGUCCCUAUCUGCCGUGGGCGCUGGAGAACUGAGGGGGGCUGCUCCUAGUACGAGAGGACCGGAGUGGACGCAUCACUGGUGUUCGGGUUGUCAUGCCAAUGGCACUGCCCGGUAGCUAAAUGCGGAAGAGAUAAGUGCUGAAAGCAUCUAAGCACGAAACUUGCCCCGAGAUGAGUUCUCCCUGACUCCUUGAGAGUCCUGAAGGAACGUUGAAGACGACGACGUUGAUAGGCCGGGUGUGUAAGCGCAGCGAUGCGUUGAGCUAACCGGUACUAAUGAACCGUGAGGCUUAACCUU